GGGAUAGCUAAAUUGGUAGAGCAUGAGACUCUUAAUCUCAGAGCCAUGGGUUCAAGUCCCAAACUGAACG